GUUCUAUGAUGAGGGCAUUUUUGUAACAAUUCUUUAAAUCUUUCACACGCCUCAUACAAGGACUUGUCAUCCAUUUGUUGGAAGGUAGUUAUUUAUUUCCACAAC
rfam:Gossypium raimondii Chr10_contig_1084, whole genome shotgun sequence.